rnacentral:rRNA from 1 species
AUUGAACGCUGGCGGCAGGCUUAACACAUGCAAGUCGACCGAGUGGCGGACGGGUGAGUAAUGCUUGGGAAUCUAGCUUAUGGAGGGGGAUAACUACGGGAAACUGUAGCUAAUACCGCGUACCAUAGGAUGAGACAAAGUGGGAUUAGGUAGUUGGUGAGGUAAAGGCUCACCAAGCCGUGGAUCUCUAGCUGGUCUGAGAGGAUGACCAGCCACACUGGGACUGAGCCACGGCCCCUGCUCCUACGGGAGGCAGCAGUGGGGAAUAUUGCGCAAUGGGGGCAACCUGACGCAGCCAUGCCGCGUGAAUGAAGAAGGCCUUCGGGUUGUAAAGUUCUUUCGGUAGCGAGGCGUUAACUACAGAAGAUGCACCGGCAAACUCCGGACCAGCAGCCGCGGUAAUUC